GAUGAACGCUGGCGGCGUGCCUAAUACAUGCAAGUCGAGCGAACGGACGAGAAGCUUGCUUCUCUGAUGUUAGCGGCGGACGGGUGAGUAACACGUGGAUAACCUACCUAUAAGACUGGGAUAACUUCGGGAAACCGUAGCUAAUACCGGAUAAUAUUUUGAACCGCAUGGUUCAAAAGUGAAAGACGGUCUUGCUGUCACUUAUAGAUGGAUCCGCGCUGCAUUAGCUAGUUGGUAAGGUAACGGCUUACCAAGGCAACGAUGCAUAGCCGACCUGAGAGGGUGAUCGGCCACACUGGAACUGAGACACGGUACAGACUCCUACGGGAGGCAGCAGUAGGGAAUCUUCCGAAAUGGGCGAAAGACUGACGGAGCAACGCCGCGUGAGUGAUGAAGGUCUUCGGAUCGGAAAACUCUGUUAUUAGGGAAGAACAUAUGUGUAAGUAACUGUGCACAUCUUGACGGUACCUAAUCAGAAAGCCACGGCUAACUACGUG
rnacentral:rRNA from 1 species